rnacentral:rRNA from 1 species
UACAGAGGGUGCAAGCGUUUGUUCGGAAUUAUUGGGCGUAAAGCGCGUGUAGGCGGCAUGGCAAGUCGGGUGUGAAAGCCCUCAGCUUAACUGAGGAAGUGCGCCCGAAACUGCCGUGCUUGAGUGCCGGAGAGGGUGGCGGAAUUCCCCAAGUAGAGGUGAAAUUCGUAGAUAUGGGGAGGAACACCGGUGGCGAAGGCGGCCACCUGGACGGUAACUGACGCUGAGGCGCGAAAGCUAGGGGAGCAAACAGG